GCUGGCUGGGGACGCCGCCAUUUUGGGCGCUUCGCGGAUGGUGUCGGGGAACGCGCUUCGCGCCUGAGCGCAGCCAGCGGCGGGGCCGGAGUCACCUAAGGAGUCAGGCUUGCUGGGGGGAGGACCUGGCCUGGAGGAAGCCAGAUCUGCUUUUGGACAACUGUGAUUGUUAGGAAGUUUCCUUCUCCUUACGCUGCUGCUGCCUCCGAGACUCACUAGCAAGCCGUCCUUUUGAAUACACUUAAAGGAGAAAAGGAGGAACUCUUCUGCCAAACUCACCCCACCUCGGUCACCUCGGCCAGUGCAUGCUUGAUCCUGUGCCCCUAAUUCCCUGCUUCUGCAAUGAAGGAAGUUGAACCCUGUGUCCCUGUGUCUUCGCCCCUGCUAAUCUGCUAAUGCAGUAAACUGGAAGAUUGCUGUUCCCAGGAUUACCUGUAAUGGGCAAGGAGCCACAGAGA